rnacentral:misc_RNA from 1 species
UUUGCUGGGGCUUGGAUUAACAGACCGAACUUUGGCUUGUUUCCCACACAAAGGAAUUAGGAUACAGAGAGGUCGAUUAAUGAAAUGGAAAAUGAGGUUAUUCCUCUUCCUCUGCUGCUUAAAUGCAUUUGCAUGGAUGCACAGCAAGUUCGGAUAUGAAGUGCUUCUGUCUAUCCUCCCCAAACAUCUUAGGGUAAUAAUACUGCAACUUGGGUGGG